GUAACACGUGGGUAAUCUGCCCUGCACUUUGGGAUAAGCCUGGGAAACUGGGUCUAAUACCGAAUAUGACCUCGGGAUGCAUGUCCUGUGGUGGAAAGCUUUUGCGGUGUGGGAUGGGCCCGCGGCCUAUCAGCUAGUUGGUGGGGUGAUGGCCUACCAAGGCUACGAUCAGUAGCUGGUCUGAGAGGAUGAUCAGCCACACUGGGACUGAGACACGGCCAGACUCCUACGGGAGGCAGCAGUAGGGAAUCUUGCGCAAUGGGGGAAACCCUGACGCAGCCAUGCCGCGUGAAUGAUGAAGGUCUUAGGAUUGUAAAAUUCUUUCAGCGGGGAAGAUAAUGACUGUACCCGCAGAAGAAGCUCCGGCUAACUUCGUGCCAGCAGCCGCGGUAAUACGAAGGGGGCUAGCGUUGCUCGGAAUUACUGGGCGUAAAGGGCGCGUAGGCGGGUGUUUAAGUCAGAGGUUAAAUCCCAGGGCUCAACCCUGGAACUGCCUUUGAUACUGGGCACCUAGAGUUCGGGAGAGGU
rnacentral:rRNA from 1 species